rfam:Gossypium hirsutum cultivar TM-1 chromosome 12, whole genome shotgun sequence
UUUAGGGGAGCGUUUUGUCCAUGUCAGCACAAAGCGCUUCCUUGAGGGCGCGCUUUGUGCUGACGUGGACAAAACACUCCCCCAAGG